GUGCAGCAGGCGAGAAUAGUCUACAAUGGACGAAAGUCUGAUAGUGCGACGCCGUGUGUGCGAUUAAUUCCUUCGGGAUGUAAAGCACUUUUCUAUGAGAUAAAAGCUCUUUAGGUUAAUAGCUUAUUGAGACGGAUAUUAUUAUAGGAAUAAGCUCCGGCUAACUCCGUGCCAGCAGCCGCGGUAAUACGGAAGGAGCGAGCGUUGUCCGGAUUUACUAGGCGUAAAGGGCUAGUAGGCGACUAAUUAAGUUAUAUGUUAAAUCCCACGGCUCAACUGUGGUCCUGCAUGUAAUACUGGUUAGAUAGAGUACUGUAGAGGAAGGCAGAAUUCCUGGAGUAGCGGUGGAAUGCGCAGAUAUCAGGAAGAAUACCAAAAGCGAAGGCAGCCUUCUGGGCAGUUACUGACGCUGAAUAGCGAAGGUGCGGGUAGCGAACAGGAUUAGAUACCCGCGUAGU
rnacentral:rRNA from 1 species